UACGUAGGGUGCGAGCGUUGUCCGGAAUUACUGGGCGUAAAGAGCUCGUAGGUGGUUUGUCGCGUUGUUCGUGAAAACUCACAACUCAAUUGUGGGCGUGCGGGCGAUACGGGCAGACUGGAGUACUGCAGGGGAGACUGGAAUUCCUGGUGUAGCGGUGGAAUGCGCAGAUAUCAGGAGGAACACCGGUGGCGAAGGCGGGUCUCUGGGCCGAUGACUGACGCUGAGGAGCGAAAGCGUGGGGAGCGAACAGG
rnacentral:rRNA from 1 species